rnacentral:rRNA from 1 species
AUACGGAGGAUGCAAGCGUUAUCCGGAUUUAUUGGGUUUAAAGGGUGCGUAGGCGGAUGAUUAAGCGUGAGGUGAAAUGCCACUGCUCAACAGUGGAACUGCCUCGCGAACUGGUUGUCUUGAAUGCUCCUGCCGUGGGAGGAAUGUGUGGUGUAGUGGUGAAAUGCAUAGAGAUCACACAGAACACCGAUUGCGAAGGCAUCUCACGAAGGGGUGAUUGACGCUGAGGCACGAAAGCGUGGGGAUCAAACAGGAUUAGAUACCCUGGUAGUCCACGCAGUAAACGAUGAUAACUAACCGCUGGGUCGUAGUGAUUCAGUGGCCAAGCGAAAGCGAUAAGUUAUCCACCUGGGGAGUACGACCGCAAGGUUGAAACUCAAAUGAAUUGACGGGG